GCCUGUUGGCUCUAAAUUUCAACUUUACAUGCAGAUGUAUAACUAUACUUGUUUUUUGUUUGUUUGUUUUGCCAGUCCUGGGGCUUGGACUCAGGGCCUGAGCACUGUCCCUGGCUUCUUUUUGCUCAAGGCUAGCACUCUGCCAGUUGAGCCACAGCGCCACUUCUGGCCAUUUU